UGAGGGAAUAUUUGGGGUCAAUGGGCGAGAGCCUGAACCAGCCAAGUCGCGUGAGGGAAGACGGUCCUACGGGUUGUAAACUUCUUUGUCGGGGACGAGUAGAAGACGGUACCUGACGAAUAAGCCACGGCUAACUACGUGCCAGCAGCCGCGGUAAUACGUAGGUGGCAAGCGUUGUCCGGAUUUACUGGGUGUAAAGGGCGUGUAGCCGGGAGGGCAAGUCAGAUGUGAAAUCCACGGGCUUAACUCGUGAACUGCAUUUGAAACUACUCUUCUUGAGUAUCGGAGAGGCAAUCGGAAUUCCUAGUGUAGCGGUGAAAUGCGUAGAUAUUAGGAGGAACACCAGUGGCGAAGGCGGAUUGCUGGACGACAACUGACGGUGAGGCGCGAAAGCGUGGGGAGCAAACAGGAUUAGAUACCCU
rnacentral:rRNA from 1 species